UCAGAAUUGGCUUUUCUGAGCUCU
rnacentral:snRNA from 1 species